GACGAACGCUGGCGGCGUGCUUAACACAUGCAAGUCGAGCGGUAAGGCCCGUUUCGGGGGUACACGAGCGGCGAACGGGUGAGUAACACGUGGGUGACCUGCCCUCAGCUCUGGGAUAAGCCUGGGAAACCGGGUCUAAUACUGGAUAUGACUCCAUGACGCAAUGUUAGUGGGGUGGAAAGCCUUGUGCGGCUGAGGAUGGGCCCGCGGCCUAUCAGCUUGUUGGUGGGGUGANGGCCUACCAAGGCGACGACGGGUAGCCGGCCUGAGAGGGCGACCGG
rnacentral:rRNA from 1 species